CACACCAACCAACGCCAGGGAAUUACGAGCUAUGCUUAAAACCCAAAGGACUUGACGGUUUCCCACCCCCCUAGAGGAGCCUGUUCUAUAAUCGAUGAUCCCCGCUAUACCUAACCACCCCUCGCCAUCAGUCUGUAUACCUCCGUCGAAAGCUUACCAUAUGAAUGCUUCAGUAGGCCCAAUGAUCCCCGUCAACACGUCAGGUCAAGGUGCAGCUUAAGGAAUGGGAAGUGAUGGGCUACAAUUUCUAAACUAGAACAAACGAAAGACUAGGUGAAACCCUGGUCAUGAAGGCGGAUUUAGUAGUAAAAAGAAAAUAGAGUGUUCUUUUUAACAUGGCUCUGGGACGCGUACACACCGCCCGUCACCCUCUUCAACAAUAUUUCGAACUAGUUCCUAACCUUUUACCACACAUCUUAGAAGAGGCAAGUCGUAACAUGGUAAGUGUACUGGAAAGUGCACUUGGUAUACAAAAUGUAGCUUAACAAAGCCCCCCGCUUACACCGAGAAGUUAUCUGUUAAACCCAGAUCAUUUUGAGCCUAAAAUCUAGCCCUUACACCCGCAUGACCUCACCAAUCCACCGCCUUAAAUAAAACAUUUUCAUAAUUUAGUACAGGCGACAGAAAAAUUUCUAAGCGCUUCAGAUAAAGUACCGCAAGGGAAUAAUGAAAUAGAAAUGAAAUAACCCUAAAGCCCUAAAUAGCAAAGAUGCCCCC
rnacentral:rRNA from 1 species